GCAUAACAAUGUCGCCUGUGUUAUUUGUGGGGAUACUAGUGCUUUCGGUCACAAUGACGGGAGUAAAUAACUGGAGUGUGCAGGAACAUAUUUGGAGACCUGUUUGUGAAAAACGGCCUUGCAAUGCAUCGCGGAUGUGUGAACCGCCGUGUAAAUGCUACCUGCUUUAUAAAGUGAGAUACAUGUGCUUUGCAAUAUAAUAGCUUUGGGAAAACCAGCACUUACGUUAUGAUGAAGUGUCCUUUCCG